UACGGGGGGGGCAAGCGUUGUUCGGAAUUACUGGGCGUAAAGGGCUCGUAGGCGGCCAACUAAGUCAGACGUGAAAUCCCUCGGCUUAACCGGGGAACUGCGUCUGACACUGGAUGGCUUGAGUUUGGGAGAGGGAUGCGGAAUUCCAGGUGUAGCGGUGAAAUGCGUAGAUAUCUGGAGGAACACCGGUGGCGAAGGCGGCAUCCUGGACCAACACUGACGCUGAGGAGCGAAAGCCAGGGGAGCAAACGGG
rnacentral:rRNA from 1 species